rnacentral:rRNA from 1 species
CGGACGGGUGAGUAACGCGUGGGUAACCUGCCCUAUACAGGGGGAUAACAGUCAGAAAUGGCUGCUAAUACCGCAUAAGCGCACAGAGCUGCAUGGCUCAGUGUGAAAAACUCCGGUGGUAUAAGAUGGACCCGCGUUGGAUUAGCUUGUUGGUGGGGUAACGGCCCACCAAGGCGACGAUCCAUAGCCGGCCUGAGAGGGUGAACGGCCACAUUGGGACUGAGACACGGCCCAGACUCCUACGGGAGGCAGCAUG